CUCCCCUGGCCAAUCAGCGAGGAGCCGGCCGGCAGGGCAGGGGCAGGAAAUUCAAAAUUGUAAAGUAUAAAAAGUGCAUUUUUCUAUGUAAUGGCAUGUCGGUUCUUCCCGCAACUUAUUGCUACUGUCAUCAUGCUCCAGCUGGACAGACUAAAGCGUCGGUGAUUUCUGCUUCAAACCUGGCCUGUCUGUGUCUAAUUUAGCCUUCUGGACAUAUUGGGCUUCCAAAUACACUGUUCUUGAGGAUGCUGAAAUCACAUAACACCAGACCUGAAUCCUGUGGUACCAGACUGACCACUUUUCUCCAGGAUGAGGAGGAUCCAUUGGCUGUCAUUUAAAGGACUUCCAUAUGAAGCUUUCGAGGAACUUCUUAUGCAGUUGGAUGAAUCAGAAAUUACAGCCACUUUGGAAAUUGAUUUCUGCUCACUAACUCACAAAAUCUGUGCAUGGGAGCUAAUCUCAUGAAUUACCACAGACUUGCUCUGAUGAAGACUUAAGACUUCAGGUACUUAAAAGACAAGACAGGGUUGUUCAGUGUCUCUUUUCACCGUCACCAAGCAGCAUGAAACUUCUAGACAUUCCUGGCUGAAUUUAAAUGAUUAAAGACUCAACAUCUGUCCUGG